UGCAGUCGAACGGCAGCACGGAGCUUGCUCUGGUGGCGAGUGGCGAACGGGUGAGUAAUAUAUCGGAACGUACCCUAGAGUGGGGGAUAACGUAGCGAAAGUUACGCUAAUACCGCAUACGAUCUAAGGAUGAAAGUGGGGGAUCGCAAGACCUCAUGCUCGUGGAGCGGCCGAUAUCUGAUUAGCUAGUUGGUAGGGUAAAAGCCUACCAAGGCAUCGAUCAGUAGCUGGUCUGAGAGGACGACUAGCCACACUGGAACUGAGACACGGUCCAGACUCCUACGGGAGGCAGCAGUGGGGAAUUUUGGACAAUGGGCGAAAGCCUGAUCCAGCAAUGCCGCGUGAGUGAAGAAGGCCUUCGGGUUGUAAAGCUCUUUUGUCAGGGAAGAAACGGUGAAAGCUAAUAUCUUUUGCUAAUGACGGUACCUGAAGAAUAAGCACCGGCUAACUACGUGCCAGCAGCCGCGGUAAUACGUAGGGUGCAAGCGUUAAUCGGAAUUACUGGGCGUAAAGCGUGCGCAGGCGGUUUUGUAAGUCUGAUGUGAAAUCCCCGGGCUCAACCUGGGAAUUGCAUUGGAGACUGCAAGGCUAGAAUCUGGCAGAGGGGGGUAGAAUUCCACGUGUAGCAGUGAAAUGCGUAGAUAUGUGGAGGAACACCGAUGGCGAAGGCAGCCCCCUGGGUCAAGAUUGACGCUCAUGCACGAAAGCGUGGGGAGCAAACAGGAUUAGAUACCCUGGUAGUCCACGCCCU
rnacentral:rRNA from 1 species